rnacentral:rRNA from 1 species
CUAUCGGAAACGAUAGCUAAGACCGGAUAACUGGUUUUCUCGCAUGAGAGAAUCAUGAAACACGGAGCAAUCUGUGGCUUAUAGAUGGGCCUGCGGCGCAUUAGCUAGUUGGUGAGGUAACGGCUCACCAAGGCGACGAUGCGUAGCCGACCUGAGAGGGUGAACGGCCACACUGGGACUGAGACACGGCCCAGACUCCUACGGGAGGCAGCAGUAGGGAAUCUUCCGCAAUGGACGCAAGUCUGACGGAGCAACGCCGCGUGAGUGAUGAAGGUUUUCGGAUCGUAAAGCUCUGUUGCCCUAGACGAACAGCAGGGAGAGUAACUGCUCUCUGUGUGACGGUAUAGGAGAAAAAAGCCCCGGCUAACUACGUGCCAGCAGCCGCGGUAAUACGUAGGGGGCAAGCGUUGUCCGGAAUUAUUGGGCGUAAAGCGCGCGCAGGCGGUUAAUUAAGUUGGGUGUUUAAGCCCGGGGCUCAACCCCGGUUCGCAUCCAAAACUGGUUGACUUGAGUGUAGGAGAGGAAAGUGGAAUUCUACGUGUAGCGGUGAAAUGCGUAGAGAUGUGGAGGAACACCAGUGGCGAAGGCGACUUUCUGGCCUAUAACUGACGCUGAGGCGCGAAAGCGUGNGGAGC